rnacentral:rRNA from 1 species
UGCAGUCGAGCGGAUGAAGGGAGCUUGCUCCUGGAUUCAGCGGCGGACGGGUGAGUAAUGCCUAGGAAUCUGCCUGGUAGUGGGGGAUAACGUCCGGAAACGGGCGCUAAUACCGCAUACGUCCUGAGGGAGAAAGUGGGGGAUCUUCGGACCUCACGCUAUCAGAUGAGCCUAGGUCGGAUUAGCUAGUUGGUGGGGUAAAGGCCUACCAAGGCGACGAUCCGUAACUGGUCUGAGAGGAUGAUCAGUCACACUGGAACUGAGACACGGUCCAGACUCCUACGGGAGGCAGCAGUGGGGAAUAUUGGACAAUGGGCGAAAGCCUGAUCCAGCCAUGCCGCGUGUGUGAAGAAGGUCUUCGGAUUGUAAAGCACUUUAAGUUGGGAGGAAGGGCAGUAAGUUAAUACCUUGCUGUUUUGACGUUACCAACAGAAUAAGCACCGGCUAACUUCGUGCCAGCAGCCCNGGUAAUA